rnacentral:rRNA from 1 species
AUGGCGGCAGCCCAACAAGGGAACGUGGAGCAGGCCGUGAACGGAGCGCAAGGACCGGGCAAGGUCGGCGGCGAGGCUCCCGAGGCGGCGUCGGCGCCCAAGGCCGCGGCCGCCGCCACCGCUGCCGCGCCGCAUCACCGGCGAUCCAAGAGUGCUUCUUCGGGCAGGAACCUGGAGACUUGCAAGCAUGCCACCAUGGAGCAACGCUUCAACCAAGCACAGAACCCGCCGGACCCGAGGAAGUCUUCUUGCUCAACGGAUGGUUCUUCGGUUCUCCGGGCACCGCCGAGGGAUCAACGGACGAGCGCGGCCACGGCGUCGCCGAACCACCGCGUCUCGCUGGAGAAUGACGUCUCGCAGCUGCAUCUGCAUCUGCAUCAGGAGAGGUCCAUCCGGAUCAUGCUUGACCGGGCGAUCGGCCGGGCUUCCAGCACCCUGUCUCCUGGUCAUCGGCACUUUCCAGCUCAGACAAAGGAACUGAUAGCAGAGAUUGAAUUGCUCGAAGAGGAAAUUGCGAACCGCGAGCAGCACGUCCUCUCACUCUACAGAAGUAUAUUUGAUCAGUGCGUAUCUGGGCCAUCAUCAGGGCAGAGUUCCGGUAUUUCAUCCCCGGCUCAUGCCAAGAGCAUAAGUUCAAGGACGAGACGACGACAAUCGAGCAUAAUAUCAAGUGCAUUUUGCUCAUCUAAGAAGCUGCCUCUCCAACCUUUCCAUAUCAUGACAUCAGUGUCGGAGUCGGGUAGGACGAAGAACAUGCUCAAGACCAAGAUCAAGCAUGAAUCUUUCUCGAGCGAAACGUUGGAUGUCCGUCCUGCCUCCCUUGCAUCAGAUCCAAGGAAGCUGCCUUAUUCAGGGAGUAGUUCUUUGGCACGUACUCUGAAAGAUCAUCUCUACCAAUGUCCAAGCAAGAUAUCUGAAGAAAUGGUUAGAUGCAUGGCCUCCAUAUACUGUCUUUUGCGCACGGAGUCACCAGAAAAGCCUGAAAAGGUUCGCUCGCCGUUCUUGUCAAGAUCAUCAACAAGUGUCAUUCUUCCUCGGAGGGGUAACGGCGAGGAGACUAAUCCAUCAAGUAACAAAAGCAUUGUCGAAGUAUAUUCAAUCACAGUCGAAAAGAAUCAGACGCCAGAUGUCUCCUGUGCAAUUACCCACUACAGGUUGCUUGUGGAGCAGCUUGAAAGGGUUGAUCUGAGUAUGUCAGAAACCAGUAUCAAACUGGCCUUUUGGAUCAACGUGUACAAUUCUCUUGUCAUGCAUGCAUAUCUAGCAUAUGGAAUUCCAAACAGCUCUCUGAAAAGAAUGGCUCUAUUUCACAAGGCUGCCUACAAUGUUGGUGGAUAUGCCGUGACAGCCAACUCCAUUGAACACUCCUUGCUGUGCUGCAGAUCCCCGCGGAUUGGUCGUUGGUUUGAAUCAAUACUGUCGACGGCGAUGCGGAAGAGAUGCGCGGACGAGAAGCAGCUGGUCCAGCUCAAGUUCGGCCUGCCGGACUGCCAGCCUCAGGCCCUGUUCGCGCUGUGCACCGGUGCCUCCUCCGACCCCACGCUCAAGGUGUACACGGCGAAGAACGUGACGGAGGAGCUGGAGCGGGCGAAGCGGGAGUUCCUGCAGGCCGGCGUGGUGGUGCGCAAGUCGAGGAAGGUGUUCCUGCCGCGCCUCGUGGAGCGGUACGCCAAGGAGGCCGGCCUCCCCGCCGGCGACGGCGUCCUCGCGUGGGCGCGCGACAACUUGGACGGCCGGGCCGCGCAGGAGGCCAUCCAGCGGUGCGCCGCCGCAGCAGCAGGAGCCGGCGGCCGGCGCAGGGCGUCGCAGGCCUUCGAGUGGCUCCCGUACAACCCCAGGUUCCGCUACGCCUUCGCCAGGAGCAUGGUCGACAAGCAAGCCGCCGCGGUGCUCGCCUAG